UUAACAGCCAGGUCCUUGCCUGCUGUGCAGUCUGAUGAAAGACUUCAGCCUCUGCUCAAUCACCUCAGUCAUUCCUACACUGGCCAAGAUUACAGUACCCAGGGAAAUGUUGGGAAAAUUUCUUUAGAUCAGAUUGAUUUGCUUUCUACCAAAUCCUUCCCACCUUGCAUGCGUCAGUUACAUAAAGCCUUGCGGGAAAAAUCACCAUCUUCGUCAUUGAGGCCGAAUGCAGUAUGACCUAUUUCUGAAGGGCAUUGGUUUAACUUUGGAACAGGCAUUGUAGUUCUGGAAGCAAGAAUUUAUCAAAGGAAAGAUGGAUCCAGACAAGUUUGGUAAAGGUUGCUCUUACAACAUCUGUCACAGCUUUGGAAAGGAAGGCAAGAGGACAGACUAUACACCUUUCAGUUGCCUGAAGAUUAUUCUAUCCAAUCCACCAAGCCAAGGGGAUUAUCAUGGGUGCCCAUUCCGUCACAGUGAUCCAGAGCUGCUGAAGCAAAAGUUGCAGUCAUACAAGAUCUCUCCUGGAGGGAUAAGCCAGAUUUUGGAUUUAGUAAAGGGGACACAUUACCAGGUAGCCUGUCAAAAAUACUUUGAGAUGAUACACAAUGUGGAUGAUUGUGGCUUUUCUUUGAAUCAUCCUAAUCAGUUCUUUUGUGAGAGCCAAAGUAUUCUAAAUGGUGGUAAAGACAUAAAGAAGGAACCUAUCCAACCAGAAACUCCUCAACCCAAACCAAGUGUCCAGAAAACCAAGGAUGCAUCAUCUGCUCUGGCCUCUUUAAAUUCCUCUCUGGAAAUGGAUAUGGAAGGACUAGAAGAUUACUUUAGUGAAGAUUCUUAG